UGGGGAAUAUUGCACAAUGGGGGAAACCCUGAUGCAGCAACGCCGCGUGAAGGAAGACGGUUUUCGGAUUGUAAACUUCUGUUCUUAGUGAAGAAUAAUGACGGUAGCUAAGGAGCAAGCCACGGCUAACUACGUGCCAGCAGCCGCGGUAAUACGUAGGUGGCAAGCGUUGUCCGGAAUUACUGGGUGUAAAGGGAGCGCAGGCGGGAGACCAAGUCAGCUGUGAAAAGCUACGGGCUUAACCUGUAGACUGCAGUUGAAACUGGUUUUUCCUUGAGUGAAGUAGAGGUUGGCGGAAUUCCGAGUGUAGCGGUGAAAUGCGUAGAUAUUCGGAGGAACACCGGUGGCGAAGGCGGCCAACUGGGCUUUAACUGACGCUGAGGCUCGAAAGUGUGGGGAGCAAACAGGAUUAGAUACCC
rnacentral:rRNA from 1 species